rnacentral:rRNA from 1 species
GACGAACGCUGGCGGCGUGCUUAACACAUGCAAGUCGAGCGGUAAGGCCCUUCGGGGUACACGAGCGGCGAACGGGUGAGUAACACGUGGGUGACCUGCCCUCCACUCUGGGAUAAGCCCGGGAAACUGGGUCUAAUACCGGAUAUGACCUCUGGAUGCAUGUCUGGUGGUGGAAAGCCUGGGUUGUAUGACUCUGGCGGUGGGGGAUGGGCCCGCGGUCUAUCAGCUUGGUUGGUGGGGGAUGGCCUACCAAGGCGACGACGGAUAGCCGGCCUGAGAGGGUGAUCGGCCACACUGGGACUGAGACACGGCCCAGACUCCUACGGGAGGCAGCAGUGGGGAAUCUUGCGCAAUGGGCGGAAGCCUGACGC